GCUAAGAAACUUGCCCCCGGGCUGAACCCUUGGGGGGCCGAGUCAGCCGUUAUGUUUCUGGAAGGUAGCUAGGAAACUUGCCCCCGGGCUAAACCCUUGCCAUAUUAGAAUCCACCAAUUAUAUCCCUGUAACCAUACAUCUGCUUCUGUAUGCUUGCUUCUGCUCCCCAAAAUCCUAUAAAAGCCCAUCCUUGGUUCCGUGGGGCGCGCCAGUCCCCCGAGUGACUGUAGCGCCCGCAGGUGCCUGUGCCUGUGUAUCCCGACAAUAAACCAAAUCCUCUUGCUGAUUGCAUCCUGUGGUGUCUCGGUCUGGUCUUUGGAGUUAGAGGGUCUCCAUCCCGAGGGAAAGUUCUCCCUGAGAGCUUUUCAUUUGGUGCGUUGGCCGGGAAAGGAGAUCCUCCACCCAGGGACCACCGACCACCCACUGGGAGGUAAGCCGGCCGACGUCUGUCUGUCUGUCUAAUUUUGUCUCGUUCUACCUUAUUCUGUCUGUUCUGUGAGCGCUCAGCCAGGUCUGUUCUGUGAGCGCUCAGCCAGGUUGUUUGGAAUUUGGGCGGGACGAAGAAGGAGCUGACGAGCUCAGACUUCUCGCCCCGCAGCCCUGGAAGACGUUCCAAGGGUGUUGGGGCCCGACUUUUCGAGGCCCAAUCUGGGAGAGGAGAAAGAUCCGGACUAACGGCACCUCUGUCUGUAUUUUUGGCUUUCAGAGGGCCCCGGACCUUUGCCACCUCUAUCUGAGAAAGAUCCGGACUAACGGCACUCUGUCUGUAUUUUUGGCUUUCAGAGGGCCCCGGACCUUUGCCACCUCCAUCUGACUUUUUGCUUUCAGUUUGGUACCAAAGCCGUGCAGCACGCCUGUCUGUUGUUUGUUUGACUGUUGGUGUUGUUUGUUUUCUCUGUGUUCUAAUCUUCCUUAGAACUAACAUGGGACAGUCCCUAACAACGCCCCUAAGUCUCACUCUUGAUCAUUAGAAAGACGUCCACGACCGGGCACACAACCAGUCCGUCGAGGUUAAAAAAAAAAAGGAAAAGGGCAGACUCUCUACACAUCCGAGUGGCCCACUUUCGGAGCGGGAUGGCCAGUGAAUGGCACAUUUAAUAAGAUCAUUAUUUUACAGGUUAAAGAUCGGGUCGUCCACGGACAUCCUGACCAGGUUCCUUAUAUUAUCACUUGAGAGAGUCUCGCCUUAACCCCCCCCCCCCAGGCGGAACCCUUUGUGGACCCGAAUUGGCCUCCCCUCAACCCCCAGCCUGUCCCCUCGGCCCCGCCCGGUCUGCCGGCCACGUCUUAAAAAACCUGUCCUCCCAGCAGACCCAAACUCCCCUCUCAUAGAUCUUCUCUCUGACAGGCCCGGCUAAAACGGAGGAGGCAGAGCCGCCGGCCAGAUCAGUUGCCGGGCCACAGUCUGAUAAGGGUUUCUCCCCUGUCGCAGGGAGAUCGCGCAAUAAGCACGAGGUGGUACCAGAUACAACCUCCCAGGCUUUCCCACUUAGACAGGGAACCAGUGGCCAGACCCAAUACUGGCCGUUUUCAGCAGCUGACAUUUACAAUUGGAAACAACACAACCCUUCUUUCUCCAAAGAUCCGGUGGCACUCACCGACCUAAUAGAAUCUGUUUUACUUACCCACCAGCCUACUUGGGAUGACUGCCAACAGCUCUUACAGGCCCUCUUAACCUCAGAAAAAAAAAAAAAAAAAAAAACAAAGAGUGUUCCUAGAGGCCAGAAAGCAUGUUCUGGGAGAUGAUGGGCGUCCCACCCAGCUGCCUGAAAAAAUUGAUGCUACAUUCCCACUUAAGAGACCAAACUGGGAUUUUAAUACAGCUGAAGGUAAGAGACACCUACGCCUUUAUCGCCAGUUGCUUCUAGCGGGUCUCCGAGGGGCUAUACGACGCCCUACUAAUUUGGCUCAGGUAAAACAGGUAUUACAGGAAGCAGGGGAAACUCCCUCCGCCUUUCUAGAGAGACUUAAGGAGGCCUACCGUAUGUAUACUCCCUAUGACCCAGAUGACCCAGGACAAAUGACGAGUGUCUCUAUGUCCUUCAUCUGGCAGGCUGCUCCAGAUAUCAGGACUAAGUUACAGAGGUUAGAAAAUUUGCAGGGCUAUACAUUACAGGAUUUACUUAAAGAAGCUGAAAAGAUUUUUAAUAAGAAAGAGAUAAAAAAAGAAACAAAGAAUUGAGUCGAAUCUUGGCCGCCGUAGUUCAGGGCCAAGAAAGGAAGGGAGAUAGGGGGGAGCUCGAAAGGGGCUGAAGCUGGAUAAAGAUCAAUGUGCCUAUUACAAAGAGAAAGGGCACUGGGCCAGAGAGUGCCCCAAGAAGCCUGGCGGACCCCGAAAACCUCGACCACGAACCUCCCUCUUGGCUCUAGAUAAAGAUUAGGGAGGUCAGGGCCAGGAGCCCCCCCCCCUGAGCCCAGGGUAACGCUUAAAGUUGGGGGGCAGCCGGUUACUUUCCUGGUAGACACAGGAGCCCAGCAUUCAGUCCUCACCCAAGCUUCAGGACAACUCAGCGACCGGACGGCCUGGGUACAAAGAGCUACUGGUGAGAAACAAUACCGAUGGACUACGGACCGCCGGGUUCAGCUGGCUACUGGUAAGGUGACCCAUUCCUUCUUACAUGUUCCGGACUGCCCGUACCCUCUGCUGGGCCGUGACCUGCUCACCAAACUAAAAGCACAAAUUCAUUUUGAGGAAGGAGGGGCCCAAAUAACUGGCCCCCACGGAACUCCCCUUCAAGUUCUAACCCUACAACUAGAGGAUGAAUAUAGACUAUAUGAACCGGGACAGGACAAGCCACAAUCCCUAGAAAUAGACACUUGGGUCACGAAUUUUCCACUGGCUUGGGCAGAGACUGGUGGGAUGGGGUUGGCGCUCCAACAGCCCCCCUUAAUUAUAUAGUUAAAGGCCACUACAACUCCAGUCUCCAUAAAACAAUACCCCCUGUCACAUGAAGCUUAUCAAGGUAUAAGGCCUCACAUUACGAGGCUUCUAGAUCAAGGCAUCCUAAUCCCCUGCUGGUCACCUUGGAAUAUGCCUCUUCUGCCUGUUAAGAAACCCGGCACUGGAGAUUAUAGGCCAGUACAAGACUUGAGAAAGGUCAACAAGAGGAUAGAAGAUAUUCAUCUGACUGUUCCAAACCCUUACAAUUUGCUCAGUAACUGUUCAUCGAUGAGAAACAGGGGUAUGCUAAAGGGGUCCUAACACAAAGGUUGGGACCCUGAAAACGCCCUGUGGCCUACCUGUCUAAGAAAUUGGACCCUGUGGCCUCCGGCUGGCCACCGUGCCUAAAGAUGGUGGCUGCUAUUGCUGUCCUGAUCAAGGAUGCUAGAAAAUUGACUUUGGGACAGCCACUCACCAUCCUAGCACCCCACGCAGUGGAGGCCUUGGUAAAACAGCCCCCAGACCGCUGGCUCUCUAAUUCCCACAUGACCCACUACCAAGCCUUGUUACUGGAUGCAGAACGGGUUCAGUUUGGGCCCGUAGUUGCCCUCAAUCCUGCCACCUUGCUUCCCCUACCAGAGGAGGCAGAACAGCAUGACUGCCUACAAAUCCUCGCAGAAGUACAUGGAACCAGGCCGGACCUAUCGGACCAGCCUCUUCAGAAUGCUGACCACACAUGGUACACAGAUGGCAGCAGCUUCUUGGCAGAGGGAGAGUGAAAGGCUGGAGCUGCGGUCACUACGGAGGACAAAGUAAUUUGGGCAAAAGCCCUGCCUGCUGGUACCUCCGCACAACGGGCUGAACUCAUCGCCUUGACUCAGGCGCUCAAGAUGGCAAAAGGUAAGAGGCUAAAUAUAUAUACAGACAGCCGCUAUGCCUUUGCCACGGCACACAUCCACGGGGAGAUCUACCGGAGGCGGGGGCUGCUCACAUCUGAGGGUAAAGAUAUUAAAAAUAAGGCUGAAAUUCUGGCCCUCUUAGAAGCCCUAUUCUUGCCCAAAAGACUGAGUAUUAUGUAUUGUCCAGGACACCAGAAAGGGCACAACCCAGAGGCACGAAGAAACCGGCUGGCCAAUGCCACGGCUCGAGAAGCGGCCAUGAACAAACAAAUCUUGCCCUUAAAUAGCCCAGACCAACCCACGCCCCCACCAGUGGGACAAACCAGUUGGGUUUAUGCCCAUGAGGACAUAGAGCUCCUAAAAAAAUGGGGGCCAUCUACCACCCUCAACUAAAACAGUGGGUCUACAAAGGAAAGACAGUUAUGCCAAUAAAAAUGACUUUUGAAUUGAUCUCCUUUUUACAUAAAUUAACCCAUUUGGGGUUUAAGAAGAUAAAAACCUUACUAGAUCGGGAAGAGAUAAAUCUGUGUUUUUUUAAAUCGGGACAAAGCGAUACAAAAGGUGACUGAGAGUUACAAAGCGUGCGCUCAGGUUAACCCGAGAAGGACCAUGAUUGGACAAGGAGUUCAUCCUAGGGGACACCGUCCCGACAUCCAUUGAGAAAUUGGUUUUACUAAAAUUAAACCAGGUAUAUAUGGAUACAAGUAUCUCCUAGUGUUUGUAGACACCUUCUCAGGAUGGGUCGAAGCCUUCCCCACAAAGCACGAGACUACAAAAAUGGUCACCAAGAAGCUCCUCGAGGAAAUCUUUCCCAGGUAUGGCAUGCCUCAAGCGUUGGGGUCGGACAACGGGCCCGCUUUCGUCUCCCAAGUAAGUCAGUUGGUGGCCAAAUUGCUGGGGAUUGAUUAAAAAUUACAUUGUGCCUAUAGACCCCAGAGUUCAGGUCAGGUAGAACACAUAAAUAGAACAAUUAAGGAGACUUUAUCCAAACUAACGCUUGCAACUGGCUCAAAGGAUUGGGUGGCCCUCCUUCCCCUAGUUCUAUAUCGGGCCCGGAAUACCCCGGGCCCCCAUGGUCUAACUCCUUUUGAAAUAAUAUAUGGAACACCACCCCCAUUUGUCCAUUUCUUUGAUUCAAACAUUGCUGAUUUUGCUGACAGCCCUUCUCUGAGGGCCCAUUUACAGGCCCUACAGAUUGUGCAGAGAGAC